AUAAAUUAAAUCACAAUGUAAUGUAUAUUUCAAAGGGUAUCUUGAUUUUAAGAAACGGUGUCUCGACUAAUUUCUUUCUUUGGCCGGUACUGGCGAAACGAGCUGUAGCCGCGUAUCUGACUUGUGCCCCUUUUCCUUACGACCACAGAAUUGUGCAGUCUAUUUUACAC